rnacentral:lncRNA from 1 species
ACUGAGGCCGCGCCGAAGUCUUCGUCCUCCGCACUUUUCCCCGCUGCUCCUCAGUGCUCGCAGACAGCGCCCCGGAACACAGCAAAACGGGGUUCCCUGCCCUCGGAGAGCCCUGUCACGUCGGCGCCCCAGCCCCUUAGCACAGUGCGGGAGACUGACUGGACCGCCAACUCCCAGGCUCUGCGUGGGCGCUCUCUCGAAUCUCCAGGCUAAUAGAGCUCUCCGGUUCAACUCAUUUUGUCUGCCCUUCCUUCCGAUCUCGGGUGGGCAACUAGCACACCACUUCCCCUUCCUCUGGACCCGCUCACAUGUCACCUUGUUAAAGGCAGUGACUGGGAAGAACAGAAGAGAGUCUGGGGGAAAGAUGACUUCCAACAGAAGGCAUGGACUGCAUAGGCCUGUGCCCAGUGACGGUUCAUAGACAACAAGGUGCUGGGAGAAGUCCUCAGAAUCCAGGAUAAAAGUUCUGGAACACUGAGACUUUGUCUCUCUUACUCAGUACCUCCUGGUCUAACAGCUUGUGGUGGACCCAGCAGACCGCCACAUGAGCUGACAAGUAGCGGAAGUCCCUUCCUUCCUCCAGCCAAGAGUGGGCCAGGAGAUGAAGUGGGACCGCGCUGCGCUUCCAGGAUCCUCUUUAGAAAGGACUUCUGAGGGACUUCAGAGAAGACGAGGGGAGCUGUUUUUUUCUCUGAACAGUUUAGUUAAUAUUAAACACUGUGACCCUUUUGCCUGAGCUUGAUACCGAAUCCUCACCCCUUACAUUGCGUUCUUCCUUUGUAAUAGAUCAUGCCUUCACUGGGGAGCGUUGGCAGUCUGAGGUUCCCCGCUCCACAGAACCCAGAACUCAACCUCCACGGGUCCCCCAGUAGUAGCUGCUGGCCACUGCAAGGCACGCGACAGACCAAGUCAGGUCGCCCAGCCCGCGUCCUUCGGGCCACU